rnacentral:rRNA from 1 species
CCUACGGGGGGCAGCAGUGGGGAAUAUUGGACAAUGGGCGAAAGCCUGAUCCAGCCAUGCCGCGUGAGUGAUGAAGGCCUUCGGGUUGUAAAGCUCUUUCAGUGGGGAAGAUAAUGACGGUACCCACAGAAGAAGCCCCGUCUAACUUCGUGCCAGCAGCCGCGGUACUACGACGGGGGCUAGCGUUGUUCGGAUUUACUGGGCGUAAAGCGCACGUAGGCGGAUCGUUAAGUCGGGGGUGAAAUCCUGGGGCUCAACUCCGGAACUGCCUUCGAUACGGGCGAUCUUGAGUCCGGAAGAGGUGAGUGGAACUCCUAGUGUAGAGGUGGAAUGCGUAGAUAUUAGGAGGAACACCGGUGGCGAAGGCGGCUCACUGGUCCGGUACUGACGCUGAGGUGCGAAAGCGUGGGGAGCAAACAGGAUUAGAUACCCCAGUAGUC